GCAUCCAGUCAACGUCUUUUGAUCAGGGAAGACCUUGCAGAAUUCAGCAAGACAAUGUUAAACUACAUCCUGCAUCCACCACAACAACAUGGCUUCACAGGAGAAGAGUCCGGGUGCUGAACUGGCCUGCCUGCAGUCCAGAUCUUUCACCAGUAGAAAAC